rnacentral:rRNA from 1 species
UACAUAGGGUGCGAGCGUUAAUCGGAAUUACUGGGCGUAAAGCGUGCGCAGGCGGUUUUGUAAGACCGAUGUGAAAUCCCCGGGCUUAAUCUGGGAAUGGCAUUUUGAACUGGCAGUCUAGAGUGUGUCAGAGGGGGGUGGAAUUCCACGUGUAGCAGUGAAAUGCGUAGAUAUGUGGAGGAACACCAAUGGCGAAGGCAGCCCCCUGGGAUAACACUGACGCUCAUGCACGAAAGCGUGGGUAGCAAACAGG